rnacentral:tRNA from 1 species
GCAGUGGCUAGCCCAGUGGUGAAGGCAUCUAUCUCAACCAGAGAAGUGGUGGGUUUGAUUCCCCCUCUGGCA